rnacentral:rRNA from 1 species
ACUACGGGCGGCAGCAGUGAGGAAUAUUGGUCAAUGGGCGCGAGCCUGAACCAGCCAAGUCGCGUGAGGGAGGACGGCCCUACGGGUUGUAAACCUCUUUUGCCGGGGAGCAAAGGGCGUCACGUGUGGCGCCACUGAGAGUACCCGGAGAAAAAGCAUCGGCUAACUCCGUGCCAGCAGCCGCGGUAAUAAGGAGGAUGCGAGCGUUAUCCGGAUUUAUUGGGUUUAAAGGGUGCGUAGGCGGAUCGUUAAGUCAGGGGUCAAAUUGAGGGUCUCAACCCCUUCCCGCCAUUGAAACUGGCGCUCUAGAGUGGAAGAGAAGUAUGCGGAAUGCGUGGUGUAGCGGUGAAAUGCAUAGAGAUCACGCAGAACCCCGAUUGCGAAGGCAGCAUGCCGGCUUCCGACUGACGCUGAAGCACGAAAGCGUGGGGAUCGAACAGGAUUAGAUACCCUGGUAGUC